ensembl:lncRNA
AAUUGAUGUUUGAGAGCCAGACUGAUGAUGUUGUAUGUUUUAUCUUAGAUGGGAUGGGUCUAUCAGAACAAAGCAAGGCUUUGAACACCUUGAGACAGACACAGUGUUAAGGCCCCUCAGAAUUUAUGAAAGUUAAUGAUGAAAAGCACUUCACCAGCAUCAGUGUUUCUGUAACACUGACCACAGGCCUCACAUCAUUCUGUGUGAGGGUGCACCGUGUCAGACAUGUCUGCGAAGUAUUCAUGUCUGGCAAUUUAGAGUAAAUAUUGCAUCAGUAUUUUUAAAUGUCUGGCUCAAUAUGUGAGAAUCUCCAACACAAAUUCCUAAGCUUAAAAUGAACCUUCUCCAGGAGAGCUAAAUGUAGUGCAUUGCGUUAGAGCUGGGAAAAAACGCCAAUGUGGGGACUUACAAAAAGCCAGUUUGGAACAAAGGUGCCUAGAAUGAAGGAACGCUUGCCCCAGACACUACAUUUGCUCUGUUCUGAGACUUAUUGUUCAAGAAGGAGCACUACAGAGCUGGCGGGGACACAGAAGAGAGCAGAGGAGAGGAAAACACUGAAGAAAUAAACAGUUAAGGAACUGAUUCUGAAAUCUUUCAACUGAUCAUUCCAGGCACUGGUGCAGGAUAUGAAUUCAAAAAUAUUCAGUUCUGUGGGAAAGGGGGGUGGUAGCACUACAGAUACCAGGGGUCGCAGCCCUGCGCUGUGCACCAGCUUUCCCUGACUCCAAACCCAGGAGAGCAGAGACACCCCCCCCUCCCCAUCCCCAUCUUUCUCUGUUCAGAUACUGCCCCUCAGCAGCAUUUAGUUUUGGGUUGCCUCUGUGGAUAUGCAUGGAAAGCAGCUUCUUCCACACGGCAGAUAUCUUCUCGCAAGAAACAUCUUGUUCUGGGAGGAGCCUUUUUGACAGUGUUCAGGAGCUUAACUGUAAUCUGGCAGCUCAUGGGGACAACUGGUGUGGUGGUACGUCUUCCUGGGAAACAUUCUGAGCAAGAUGCUGGAGGAGCUCAGCAUGCUGAGCAGGAGCAGCCUCAGGUGGUGCCAAUCUAUGUUAAAAAUAAGUCACAGCAUUAUCAAACUACCCCAGUAACAGGCAGAGCUAGCUCCACGCUGAGACAGUAAGAUAGCAUAUGGCUCUGGACAUAUGUGUUCUAUUUUAUGACCCCUUCACUAUUUUUUGAUAGAUAACUGUAGAUAAAUUGUGGAUGUCUUUCAGUUCCAUUAGUUCAACUGAAACCAUUGAAUAAAAAUGCACUUUGAAAAUAUUUUUCAGAAUUGGAACGCCCUUUCAAAGAGCAGAAUUAAAACAUAAAAGAUUGUAGAUUAAAAACACAUGAAAUAAACAGCUCCUGUUCUCC